CCUGCCGCCGCCGCCGCCGCCGCCGCCAUGCCGCCACCUCGCCCCUCCGUGCGCGGCGCAACGCGAUGCCGUCACUUCCGGAGCGGCGGCGGCGGGGCGGCGCGUGCAGUGACCCGGUGCAAGCAGCGCGGCGCCGGCCCCCCCCCCGCCUCGCCUCCCAGUGCAGCGACGUGCAGCGCGGCUCUGCACGAAGCCAAAAGGGGGCGUGGGGGGGGGGUGCCCCCCGGCGGCAGCCCCCCGGCGGCAGCUCCCCGGCGGCAGCCCGCGCCUUGCGCGCUGGCGCGGGGGUCCCCUCGGACACCCCUGCUCCGCACGGGUGGUUGUUAGCGGGUGCUGCCUGCCCGGGAGAAAGCCAAGGCAGCGCCGGCCUCGUUGCAUCCCCCAGCGUACAGCCAGGUGCAGGUGUUGAAUCCCAGAGGUGCGAGGGUUGUAACCCACGCCAUUGCCCCCAAAGGACAGCGCUCCGCAGUAAGCACCGGCGGUACCUGUGGGCAGGACGGUGUUGCAGCGUUUGGAAAACUCUCCUGUUUCCUCUGCCCCUCCCUGCCUGUGCCUGAACCUUCGUUCUGUCCCUCGUUCCCAAAUCCUCCCUUUCCCUUCAACUCCUCCUAGCUCUUCCACUCCGGUUUGCAGAUCUUGAACUGCCCUUUCCCCACCGUGAGCCUGCUGCCGUCAGCCCCCAGCAGGGCCUGGCCUUUCCCUGGUCCGCUCCCCCGCUCCCAGCAAACCCCCUCUCAGCCUUUGCAGCUUCUUGGGGGAAAAAACAAAUAUCUGCCAGCCCAAGCAUCACCACCUUCCCUGGGAGGUGCCCGUUUCCAUCAGGAGGGGACUUCCCAACAGCAAAACUCACUUCAUUAGUGCUGUUAAGCCUUGCACGUGUAGCUGCUGCCAGGGCACCCUGCACCAGCACUUACCUGGGCAUCCAUCACCUUUUCUCAGUGCCUUGUGCUGAUCUCACUGUAAUUGUGGCCAUCCCUGCCUCAAUUUGCACACUCUUUGACAGCAGUUUGUAUAUUACUGUGCCCAUUUAGUUCCACACCAAACAAUGGGGAUGGAGCAGCAGGGGUUACCGUGAUGGCCGGUUACUGGCAGGGCAGGGCAUUUGCUGGGCCAGCUGGGACCGGAUCGGUGCACUGAGAUCGGGUCUCAAACCCACAUGUUCUCCUGUGCCCGAGCUCUUGUGCCUGGAAAAGGAGCUUGUGGGACUGAGACCUGCUAAAGUAACAUGGCCCCAGCAGAGGCAUUCACUGCAGAGCCCCAAACCCAAAGGGUUUUGCACCUUUUGGGGUGUGCUGCGUGUUACCCAAUGCUAUGGGGACGGGCAGGUUCUUUUAAGGAUCCUUUGUGGAACGAGAACUGGCCACAGGACUAUAGUUAUAAUUAGAGCUUUAUAUAAAGAUUUUGGCAGUCAGCAUAGCUUUUCUUUACACAGAAUAUCUAGCAAUUAGCAAAGAUUUCUUAUUACUCCUGUUUCCCUGCUCCCCGAGAGCUGGUUACCCUCCUCUGUGGGGACACCCAGGUCACCAAGCCAGGCUCGGCUAAGAAGACAUGCACCAGCCAAGGAGCCAUGGGCUUACGGAGCUGCUCGGCUCUCAACGGGGACGUACUGCGACACUGGCCAUCCAGGCUGCUGCGGGGACCCGACCUUGGGACCCGACUAAUGUCGAGGGUCUGCUGAAGAGACUCGAUGAGACUGAGGUGAGGGGUGGAACUAGGUGAAGACUUGGUAGUCACCCUUUGCUUAAUCCCCAGCCCCAGCUGUGCAGAUGCUCACAAUAUGCCGCUGCCACUCCCUGCAUUGCUUAUGAGCUGCCAGAAAAUUAGGCCUAAACUUAUGUCAAGAGCCUACACAGUUUCUAACAAAACACCAUGAGGGAAGUAUUUAAACAGAAUCAAGAAACUGUCGCCCACUCGCAGCUAAGCACUAAUCACAAGCACAACUCGUGGUUGAGGGUCUAGUUGUGUUGCAUGACCAUUUUUGCUGGACUAUGAGGCCUUCCUUCCUCUUUCCCCUCAUUUAUCUACCCAAACGGCCCCAGCUUGGCUCCAAGAGUCAUAACAGAGUGUGCUGUGGCGAUUAAGACUCUGGGUACAAAGAUAUGUAGGGACUAGGGGCUUCACACCAGCUCCAGCAUGUAAAAUCGGAGAAUGGGAACAACUUGGUAGAGCUCCCUCUCAGCUCUCCUGAGACCCCCACCACCUUUGUCCUUGCCACAGACUGCUGGAUGCUGGUUGUAUCCCCCUUCCCCCGAUCUCAUGUAUCUUGCUCUACCAAUUUUUGCCUUACUAUGUAUCGAGCUUAAUAUAUAGGUUAAAGCGACUUGCUUAAGGACAGUGAAAAAUUUAAUAAAAUUGUGGUAUAUGUUA